GUUUUACUCGAUUGCCCUGAUUGUUGUGUUGUCUCCGUCGCGCCAUCUGCUCAGUUCUUUGGUUGCCACCGCAUCCAUUUUGGUAGUUGAGAGAGAGAGAGAGAGCGUACAGUUCCGUUCUGAUGAUCAAAAGUAACUGUUUAAAAAUCGAUCGUCAGAGAUAAAAGCAGCCAAGAGACUUGAUUUGCGUGGUUUAUCCAUCCUCUUCAGCUCUAAAGGAUUUUGGUCAAGUAGCGAGGAGACUUGAUUUUGGAGUUAACAUUCAGGUCAAGCUUUCAAGGAAGUUGCCUCCAGAAACAAGAUCUGAAACAGUGUCCUGCAUAUAUGUGUGCUUCGGGUGAGUUUUUUGUGGUACACCAGCUGACAGCAUUGUAACUACUGGGUUUUCAAAAGCACUAGAGUGAAUGAGAUUUUGCAUUGGGUUGGGGUAAUCACUCAGAGGAUCAUAUUAUUGCUAACUAGACUGAGUUGAGAGCAGUUAUUGGAAUCUCUUAGAUUGUUGUUGUUCUGGAAUUGAAGGCUUUAUAAUAGAAUCUAACAUGGAAAUGCCAUGAAAGAAUUGGAAGUUGCAUGUUGUAAUAGUACCAUGUUUGAAGAAAAGGCUCAGAAAAUAUCAGAAGCUGCUAUUUCCCUGCAGGAUGAAGCAGUAACUGAUGAUGGAUGAAAGUAAUGGUUAAGUAGUCAGAGAUAAGGUGGUAGUAGUGAUAAAGUAUACGUAUGUCAAAUUGAAAAUGAACUUGAUGAAGAAGAGUAUUUUGAAUUAACAAAGAAUAUACUGAGGCCAAGAACUUGGUUAGUUCGUAUCGGGAGGAAGCUGUCAAGGAAGUGGCUGAGAAGAUAGAGAGGAACUUGAUUCUUCUUGGUGCUAUUGCAGUUGAAGACAAACUUCAAAAUGGGGGACUCGGAACAUGCAAAGCUCAAAGCUGGGGUGGAGGUUUUACAGAGAUAUUGAGCUCUGAUCUUUUGAGCUUCAAUUCAUUGUUAUUUAGAUCUUGAAGCCAAUUACAUAGAUACAGAAUGCUAUAAACAACAGCUGAAAAUUGAUGGAUCUGCUGUUGAGUUGUCUCGUUGGAGAAGGGCAUUAUGCGCUCCUUAGACGAGCAGAGCUAAAAACAUUGGUGGAUCUGCAUGCGAAUGAGGCAGGGAAAGGUGGAGAGUUGCCACAUCAUGUAACUACGACUAUUGGUGGUGCUUUGGAUUUGACGCGGAAAACUGCUGAAGAUGUUUUGACUCCAAUGUCAGAAAAUUUUGCCCUUGACAUAAACUCCAAACUUCACCUGAAUACACUGGGUUCAAUAAUGAGCAGAGGUCACAGUCGUAUACCAAUAUAUUCAGGAAAUCUAAAUAAUAUCAUUGGCCACAUUUUGGCAAAAAAUUUGAUCUUCUGUCACCCAGAAGAUGAAACUCCAGUUAAGUACACGACAAUCAGAAGAAUUCCAAGUGCGUGAUCUGCUCACUGAAGGACUUACGGUGGAGGUGAUACUUUAUGGUGGUUCCAUUCAGCGUUUCAGAAGAAGGAUAAGGCGUUGCAGGAGCAAAAUAAUUUGCUGACAAAAAAAGGUGAAGGAGAAGGAGAAAACAGUAGCCAGCAGUGCCCCACAGGCACAGGCACAAUGGGAGUAGCUGUAGAGGCACAGCUUGGACUCCUCCUCUAGCAGGACCCUUCUACCUUAGGCAUUGCACUCCUUGAAUUUCGGGUACGUGCUACUAUGUUUGGUUUUGCCUGGAUCAGUUUUUUUGUCCAGUAUAUAGUUGUGAACUCAUCCAUUUUUUAUCUUUUAAUACAGUUUAUGAUAAUUUUAUCUGAUUCACAGUUGGAUACUGAUCUAAUUCAGUUACAUCUUAAAGGUCAACUUAAAGUGGGUAAGUUUAAGCUUGCUGGUUUGUGCUGGUUUUGGGUGAAAUAGAAUAAAAGUCUUGCUUCUCUUUCUCUAAUUAUUAAUCAUGAUGAACUUAGUAGCUUCAAAUUUUUUGUUUUGUUGUCUGCUUUGCUAAGGUAGAAGGCUGUCGUUUUUGUCAAUGCUUUUGUUAGUUCUUUCACUACAGAUUUGUUUUAUUGCUUUAACAAAUCAAAGAAUUGAAAGUGGUUCUGUACCGGGAUUAUUAUGACACUGGGGAUGAUGUGAAGGGGAUGCAUGGCACAACGUUGAUAGGCCGUUUCCGUGAUGCUUGGGAAGAAUGGUCAACCGCUUUGAUAUGAGUGAUGGGGUUUCUAGAAACAAGCUACUCACGAAUAAACCACCUUGAUGGUAAUUUCUUUGGUAAUUCAGUAAUAAUUUAGAUACAUUAUAUGUCAAAAGUUUAGGAGAACAAACUGAGUUGUUCUCUAACUUGAAGCUUAUUGUUUGUAAAAGGAUGAAAGCACUAGGCUAAGGCUAAGAAUUUGUGGGGAUUGAGGAAGAGGAAGAGGUUGAACAAUCAGCAGUAUGACGAUUGCAAGAAAAAAAAGGAGAAGAGCUAGAGCCAGAGGAGGAUCUCUGCUCUGAUACCAUAAAAGGAUUUAUAGAAUUUGCUGUGUAUUCUUCUCAUUGUGAGGAAAGCAUUAUAUACACAAAGGAUUACUAAAUUACAGCUAUCUAGAUCCUCUGUCUAAGCUAUCUAGAUCCUUAGUCUAAGCAAUUACAAUGAGUUAGCUAAUUAGAUCUUUAAUCUAGGCAAUUACAUAAUGAAGAGGAAGCUAAGAUCAAGCAAUUACAAAAUACAAUGAAUCUGGACAGAGAUGGUUAAUUAGGGGAUUUAGCAGUUUGUUUUGAUCCGAUUCUAAGGCAGUUGCAAUUUCGUAGGAAUUGGAUACGAAAACCCAUUUUCAAAAGAUGAAAGAAAUGCAUAAAAUGAAAUUAACUUCAAACACUAUAUUGUUAAUCUUUACAUCAUUCCAUGUCUGCUUGCUCGAAUCAAGGGGUGUAAAUUGAACUUCUAUAAGGCCAGUCUACAUCUUUGGACCAUUGAACUACAAUCCUAUUGAAGAGUGGUUCUUCCACUGGUUGAAAGCUGCCUGCCCAAUUCCAGUUCCAUACUCGGGAAUACAAUUAACACAACUCGGUCAUGUUAAGGAUUUAGCUACUGCAUUUAUUAGGUUACAUGUCUCUGACUCUUCAGCUCUGACCCUUCAGCCAAAAACAAAAGACUGGGUUCAGCUAAGAAGAAGUUCUCCUGAUUCAGAUAAGGACAUCAACUCUAUUGAAAUCAGACAUGCUGGGUCUCCGCAGAUAAGUUCCUGUAACUCAGAGACCAAAGAAUCUAAUGACUGACUUGAUGUUGAUGACAUUGAUGUUAUAUGAUGACUACAUAAGAACCCUAUUGUGAAAGAUCAAUGUGGUUUAGACAAUGUGGCAUAUUCGUUUCAUUCAUCCCUUAUUGUGAAGAUUGUGAAAGGUUUUUAGUCCGAAUUAAUUUUUUAUUUUUUUUUUGAAAAUGAGGCUGGUGCGGCUGCCCUCAAACCUUGAUUAAUUUAGGGGGACUAUGAUUGUACAUGUGGUUUAAUACGGGAUUAUUAAAUACUGGCUUAUUGUUUCUUAUGCAAGGAGAUAUGUGUGUGUAGUGAUUACAGCACCAAGCAAUAAUUUUGUUCUAUUGAUUUCAUAGAAGUUUGUACAUUUAAGUUUA